GCCACAUGAUGAUGUAAUAGAUGCAGCAGCUCUCGAGCAGUGAUGACUUGCUAUCUAUCACCCUUUUCUGAUGGCU